CCACGCCCGAAGACUGGUGCCUAAAACCAGCGCCUCUGGUCGCUCCCGGGAGCUUAGACCAC
rnacentral:tRNA from 1 species